GUGAGGAAUAUUGGUCAAUGGGCGAGAGCCUGAACCAGCCAAGUCGCGUGAAGGGAGAAGGAUCUAUGGUUCGUAAACUUCUUUUGCAGGGGAAUAAAGUGCAGGACGUGUCCUGUUUUGUAUGUACCCUGAGAAUAAGGAUCGGCUAACUCCGUGCCAGCAGCCGCGGUAAUACGGAGGAUCCGAGCGUUAUCCGGAUUUAUUGGGUUUAAAGGGUGCGUAGGUGGUUUGAUAAGUCAGCGGUGAAAGUUUGCAGCUUAACUGUAAAAAUGCCGUUGAAACUGUCGGACUUGAGUGUAAAUGAGGUAGGCGGAAUGCGUGGUGUAGCGGUGAAAUGCAUAGAUAUCACGCAGAACUCCGAUUGCGAAGGCAGCUUACUAAGCUACAACUGACACUGAAGCACGAAAGCGUGGGGAUCAAACAGGAUUAGAAACCCGUGUAGUCC
rnacentral:rRNA from 1 species